AGGGUUUUGUUCUGGAUAAAACCAUCGCCUGUUUCCAGACCCUGGUCGGAGUGGGGCGGGUGAGAGAUGCAGGUCACAAUCCUCCGGGCAAACGCGGGUGCUGUCUGACGGGGCUGUUUUUUAUUGCAGGAUGGUGAGAGGGUAUACGAUGUGGAGAUGCAGUCGAUGGCACCCUCGCCUUUGGUUCAGCGCCAGCACGGUGCUAGCGCUCUACCUUUAAUACUACUCAAAAUAACACCUGUCAAAUUGAUGGAGAAAGAGCUACAUCCUAGGGGACUGCUGAGGGUUUGGAGGCCUUGGAGGACUGGCAAUAGGAUACAGAGAUUUAAGAUCACCAGGUUAAAGAUGGUCGGUCCCACUAACCUCUCCUCAUACACUAUCCCUGUCUGUCCUGAGUUAAAGUUGGUGCCCACUAUGUAAUGCAAUGUGGUUCAAUGACGGCAGUAUAUAGGGGAAGUUAGUCAUUUUUUAGUUUUUCACUGAAAAUUAUACUAAAUCAGAUUACCAGAACUUAAUGUUGUCACUUAGCAGCACUUCUAGACUGAGGUUCAAUGACAAACCUGUGCAUACAUUGAGCUUCUAUGCAGCAUUACUUGACCAGUAAAAGAAAAGAACUGAGAUGAGUUUAAACAGCACCUCAACAUUGAAAUUCUCAAAUCGACUAUACUUACAAUAUUAAAGUUUUUUAUGAUCAUAUACCUAGUUAUCUUAAAGACCUUUUAUUUUCUUACUGUUGACAGCAGAUGCUGUAACGUAAUUCUGAAAGUUUGCCUGUACCUUGAAUAUGAACCCUGUCACCCAAAAUUAAAUUGUACAAACAGUUUUAGAAUCAAAGGACACAAGACAGUUCUUUUUAACUUUACUACUGUAAACUGCUCUAUGCAGUGCUCUGCAUGCUUUACUUUCUGUGCUUGUAAAGUUUUAAGUUUUGCAUUGGAACUUUUUUUUUAAACAAAAAGGAAAAUGCCUUUUUCAUCAAAAUGAAAAUUUGU